UAGGGAAUCUUGGAUAAUGGGCGAAAGCCUGAUCCAGCCAUGCUGCGUGAGUGAAGAAGGCCUUAGGGUUGUAAAGCUCUUUUGGCGGGGACGAUAAUGACGGUACCCGCAGAAUAAGCCCUGGCUAACUUCGUGCUAGCAGUCGUGGUAAUACGAAGGGGGCUAGCGUUGUUCGGAAUUACUGGGUGUAAAGUGCAUGCAGGCGGAUUGAUAAGUCGGGGGUGAAAUCCCGGGGCUCAACCUCAGAAUUGCUUUCAAUACUGUUAGUCUUGAGUCCGGGAGAGGUGAGUGGAAUUCUUAGUGUAGAGGUGAAAUUCGUAGAUAUUAGGAAGAACACCAGUGGCGAAGGCGGCUCACUGGCCCGGUACUGACGCUCAUGUGCGAAAGCGUGGGGAGCAAACAG
rnacentral:rRNA from 1 species